ensembl:lncRNA novel transcript
CAGAGAGCAUGGGUGACAAUGUCAAAUGCCACCUAAAUAUUAUGUGCUGGAGGCCUGAGCAGUGUCCUGUGGAUUUAGCAAGGCUGCUGGUGAGCUCAGCACAAGCUGCUGCUGUGGGGUGAGUGGAGGGCGCAUUGGUGCCACCAGGAGGGAAGGAAGGAGUGGCCCACUAGCAGCCUUAGUGGAAGAUGCCCUAGAGAGGAGAGGGGUUGAGGAUUUCUGGAUCGAGGGAGAAGACUGCAGGGCUCAAAUCCUGGAGAGGCUGGGGAGGAGGGUCCAGGGCCAGACCUUGGGAGAGAGGAGGCCCUGUCAACUGGCACAUGGGAAGGUCAGGAGGCAGGCGAAGGCCGCUGGGCUCUGGGCCCUACUGUCCUCAGUGAAAUAGCUGCUGAGGAUAUUUUCUGAGUGUCUGGCUAGUGGUUGCAAAAAGCCCAGAGGAGGUUGCAAGAGGUGAGGCAGCUGAUCAAAGCAAGUGGAAGGGUAGGCCCCGAGGCCCAGCUGGAGAGGGAGGCAGAGGUUCCUGGCGCUGUGGCUGUGCAGAAGCAGCUUUCCUGCAGCCUGAGUGCCUGUGGAGCUGGGGUGGGAAGGCAGAGCGGACACUAGCCUGGGUUGGGGAUUGUAAGGAGGCUGAGCUGAGCUGUAGGGACAAAGGCCCAGCGAUGUGGAUGCUGGUGAGAGUAGCUCCAAGAAGUGAAAGAAGGAAGGGAAGCCUGGAUGUUGAGAACCCAGAGAGACUCUGGAGCCCUCCAUGAGCAUCCCCAAAGAACAUUCAAGUCUGAGCCUCAAGGAGCCUCUGCGACUCGGUGUCUAGAUCCAGGAAAUGGAGAAUGAGCCGUGACUUUGGAUGCUUCACUCUUGUCCAUCAGGCUCGGAAUUGGUGAGCAUCUCCCACAUUACCGUCUCCAACGGAACAAGGUGCCCCAUUGGACAUUUCCUCUGCAUGGACCAGCCAUUCUCCAAAUCUGCCCCCAUGUCACCCCAGCUCCCCAUCGCAGUCACUUCUCACUCCUUGUCCCCUGUCCCCCUGAGUGACAGGACUUUUGCCAGUUAGGUCCUGUCCCUGUUUCUGAUCUUGGGUCCAUUCCCCAUGGUCCCUUUCUUGCUUGUGCCUUGGGAUCUCAGGCCUGUUGAAGUAGGAGGCAGGACUCAACUUCAGACCAGAUUGAAGACUGGCUGACACAGAAGAGGCACCAAAAGCACCUCUCUCUCCAUAAGACAUGCCCACCAGUGCCAUGACAGUUUACCAUUGCUAUGGCAAUGCCCAGAAGUUCUCACCCCUUUUCCAGACAUUUCUGCAUAAUCUACCCCUCAAUUGGCAUGUGAUCAAAAGUGGGUGUCAAAAUGACUGUGGAACUGUCCCUGAGCUGCUACUCUUGACAUGCUGGUUACAGGGUAGCCCGGCUCUGCAGGGACAGUCACGGAGCUGAAAAACUGCUGCCUAAUGAAGCUGUUUUCUUC